GAGAGUUUCUCCUUGGCCCCAGCCCUUGAGUGUGUGAUUCUCUGUGCCCAACUUGCUUUAAGAAGAAUAUUUAAUAUCCCAUGCACGUUCAAUUUUUGGCAUGAGUCUAAUAAUUAAAUUAUUAAAAAAAAGAAAAAAGAAAAACAACCCAGCUCCGCGCGUGUGUCAUCUUUAACUGAUCUCACCCACUUUUGAGUUUCUAGAGGAGAAACUUCACUUGAGUGAGCCGAAGGAUGUGAACGAGUUUUCACUUUGAAAUUCCACAUUACACUGUGUACCCAUUCAUCUGGAGUGUGAAAUGCAUCUUGAGAUAAAGAUGAAGCCAUUUUGAUUUGGAAAAUGAUCUUUUCCAGGGCUGAAUUUCUGAUAUCACAGCAGUUGCUUAUUGUGAGUAGCCUUGAUACCACAAAGAAGGCAGAGGAAGUUUUGGGAAAGACCUUUUCUCACUUUGUUCUUACGUGUGAAUGUUGGGGUCUUCAGAGUUGAGGUGCUGUUACCCUCACUGUACAGCCCCUGUGUCCUAUCUAAGAACCUGUUCAUACUGGGUGGGCGCUGUACAGGAACACAGUCUGGGCGUGCUUGGGACCUGGGUCACCUUGCUUUGUAGCUCACUCUCUUGAACAGAUGCUGCUGGGUUCAGAGUCUCUUCAGCACCAUCUUUUAGCCCAGCCUGGAGCCUCCACCAUGACAUGUUAGCUGUAAAUAGUGAAACUCCCAAGAGAGAGCCCUCACUUGGGCCUCCUAGGCAGGACUGAGUGUCAAGGACUACAGUCGACUUGCAGGAACCCAGCCUGUAGGUCAGAAGGACAAAGGGGCUAGCUCUUGGUGAAGCUUGCUGCCUGCCUGGGCUUUUCUACAGAGGGACAAAGGGCACUUCUUGAUUUCAGAGUACCCGUGGCUCUCUGUGAGAAAGUAAACCAGGAAAUGUUCUCAUCUUGUUCUUUGGAAAUAUUUGUCCAUGUUCUGGUCAGUGUCAAUAAAUAUCUUUUGCCUCAUU
rnacentral:lncRNA from 1 species